GGCGCUGUAUGCAAACUGGCAAAGCAGCGAAGCUCAGAACUUCGUGUUUGUGGGUUCGACUCCCACUGGCGCCAC
rnacentral:tRNA from 1 species